rnacentral:rRNA from 1 species
AACGUAGGAGACAAACGUUAUCCGGAGUUACUGGGCGUAAAGGGCGUGUAGGUGGUUUCGUAAGUCUGGCGUGAAAUUUUUCGGCUUAACCGGGAAAGGUCGUCGGAUACUGCGGAGCUAGAGGACGGUAGAGGCGUGUGGAAUUCCGGGUGUAGUGGUGAAAUGCGCAGAUAUCAGGAGGAACACCAAUGGCGAAGGCAGCUCGCUGGGACGUGACUGACGCUGAGACGCGAAAGCGUGGGGAGCAAACAGG